AGUGAACGCUGGCGGUAGGCCUAACACAUGCAAGUCGAACGGCAGCACAGUAAGAGCUUGCCCUUACGGGUGGCGAGUGGCGGACGGGUGAGGAAUACAUCGGCAUCUACUUUUUCGGGGGUGACAACGGAGGGAAACUUAUGCUAAUACCGCAUACGAUCUACGGGUGAGAGCAGGGGAGCUUGGGACCUUUCGCGACACAAUUAGCCGGUGCCGCAUUAGCUAGUUGGGGAGGUAACGGCCCACCAAGGCAACGAUCCGUAGCUGGUCUGAGAGGAUGAUCAGCCACACUGGAACUGAGACACGGUCCAGACUCCUACGGGAGGCAGCAGUGGGGAAUCUUGCACAAUGGGCGCAAGCCUGAUCCAGCCAUGCCGCGUGAGUGAAGAAGGUCUUCGGGUUGUAAAGCCCUUUUGUUAGGAAAGAACAGCAGCGUAAUAAUCCCCCGCUGUUCUGACGGUACCCAAAGAAUAAGCACCGGCUAACUUCGUG
rnacentral:rRNA from 1 species